AAAGAUCUUCUAGACCACGUUGGCAGCUACCACUGUAACUGGCCUGAAAUAUCUAUAUCUGUUCUUCUCUUAUAUUCAAGCCAAUUUGAAUGGAAAGAGAUUUCUUUAUUUCAGAUAUCCUUACUAAUUAAUGUUCUACAAUAGCAUAAACUUCUUGUGGUACAAAUUCUUUUCAUUUAAAAGUCACCAAGUGGCCGGACGCAGUGUCUCACCCCUAUAAUCCCAGCACUUUGGGAGGCCGAGGUGGGUGGAUUACCUGAGAUGAAGAGUUCGAGACCAUCCUGGCCAACAUAAGGAGCCAUCAUCUCUAAUGUAAGUCACUGAAUACUAACAGUUUAUGUUUUUUUAGUCAUACAGUUCAAAUGUCUUCUACUAAUUUUAAACAGCAUCUGGAUUUUAAAAGAGCAAAAUUCAAAAGAAAACAGCUUGAAAACCUCCACUGGAAAAAACCUGUCCAUUAAAAAACAUAAGUCUAAAGUUCAAUUCUCACCUGGUUCAAAAAAACAUUUGAAUUCACCAUAUCAUGUGUGGGAUUUUAGAAUGGAGUAGGCAGAGAAACAAAGGGAAAACAGCAACAUGUGUAAGUGAUCACCAACAAAAAGCCCGUUUCCAACUAAAAAAACAUGGCUUGUACGCAGGUCACAGAACAAAUCAGACCAAACCAAAGUGCCAAGUCACAACUUAAAGAAAAAGAAUCCAUGAGGGACCUUCGUAAGCAGAUGGAUUAGAAAGGCUAAGUUUCACUCAUGAAGACUUGAACCUAGGCUGUCUGAAAUAGCAGUCAAUAACAUUAAUAAUCAUCAUAAGGCUCUGAAAACUACAGUUGGGGAUUAGGCCAAAUGGAGAAGCAGAGGACUGAACAAGAGAAGGGACUUUCCACAGAAUUAAUGAAAACAACAAUCUGGUAAUGAGGGGGUUCUUUCUGCUGGAGUGAAAUUCCUCUACAGGGCUUUUCCUCUGUGGCUGCAUUAUUCUAGCAGUAGUUAGGAGUACAUUCUGAAGAGAAUAAAGCCAAUUUACUAUUAAAUUUGCAUUCGAAGACGGCAAUAAGCAGGUAAGAAAAAAGUGUUUUGUAAUUGAAUCACAUAAGACUACAUGGAAAGAAGUCUGGCUUAGUGAAUUAAACAUUUUCAUUGGUUAUCUUCUUAUAGUAGAGUGUUUCCCAUUGAACACACCUUUAUGAACUAUCUUUUCUGAAUAAUGUAGCCAAGUUGUUCAAAAUCAAGAAUGUUAGCUUCCCUGGAAUGCUUGUCCAAUUUUUUUAUUGCCUUUCAAUUUUAUCAGCUUGCCAGCACAUAAGUAACCCACAAGUAGCCCACCAAUAACCCAGGACACAAAUCUGUCCAAAAACUGAUCUGCUCUUUCUUCUAUCUAAACAAUAAGAGUUCUGGUAAGGAUCACAUACGUAUUUAGUUACUGAUAUGUCCUUUGUUGUAUGUCUUACAGGCUUCAUCAUAACCUCUAUUAGAUCAAAUUAUACGUGGUAUGGAAGAGGAGAAAGAGUGUGGGAUGCUGCCGUAAUUAGCCUUGGGUAACCAGAGAGGAAGGAACAGAAAAAAAAAAAAUCAACAAAAAUAAAUAGGGAGCUCUUACUCCAUGUGAGACACUGCGUUAGACAUGGUGGGCCAUAGAAACAAGUUUAGGAUCGAGUUCCUGUCGUUAGGAAUCUCUCAGUCUAUGUGGAGCUGAUGGAAAUACAGCAUCAUCACUUGAAGCCUGAAUUUUGAACAAGUACGUUAACAAAAGGCCAAAGACGUAUCACUAAGAACCCUGAAUUAAGAAUGGCAUCCUUCCACUACUCUCAGCUGGAAAGAAAUAAAAUUUACGAGGGACACAUGAGAAUGUACUCAGAUCUGGAA